AGAGUUUGAUCCUGGCUCAGGACGAACGCUGGCGGCGUGCUUAACACAUGCAAGUCUACGAGAACGAGGUAGCAAUAUCUUUAGUAAAGUGGCGUACGGGUGCGUAACACGUAAGUAAUCUACCUUUGGGUUCGGAAUAACUUCGGGAAAUCGGAGCUAAUACCGGAUAAUGCAGCGGCACCGCAUGGUGAUGUUGUUAAAGUUUGUGUAAUGCCUAAAGAUGAACUUGCGUCUGAUUAGCUAGUUGGUGAGGUAAUGGCUCACCAAGGCUGCGAUCAGUAGCUGGUCUGAGAGGAUGAUCAGCCACACUGGAACUGAGACACGGUCCAGACUCCUACGGGAGGCAGCAGUGAGGAAUAUUGGGCAAUGCCCGAAAGGGUGACCCAGCAACGCCGCGUGGAGGAUGAAGGUCGUAAGAUUGUAAACUCCUGUUAGAGGGGAAGAAUAACUAAGUUUGGAGCUUAGUAUGACUGUACCCUCAGAGAAAGCCCCGGCUAACU
rnacentral:rRNA from 1 species